rnacentral:rRNA from 1 species
AACGAACGCUGGCGGCGUGCCUAAUACAUGCAAGUCGAACGAGAAAGUGGAGCAAUCCAUUAGUAAAGUGGCAGACGGGUGCGUAAUACAUAGGUAAUCUACCUCUAAGAUGGGGAUAACCUUCCGAAAGGAGGGCUAAUACCGAAUGAGACCACAAGUUCUACGGAACUAGGGGUUAAAGUUGGCCUCUACUUGUAAGCUAACACUUAGAGAUGAGCUUAUGCACCAUCAGUUAGUUGGUAGGGUAACGGCCUACCAAGACGACGACGGUUAGCUGAUCUGAGGGGUUGAUCAGCCACACUGGAACUGAGACACGGUCCAGACUCCUACGGGAGGCAGCAGUAGGGAAUAUUGCGCAAUGGAGGAAACUCUGACGCAGCGACGCCGCGUGGGUGAUGAAGGCCUUCGGGUCGUAAAGCCCUGUCGGAAGGGAAGAAAAAUAUUCGGUCUAACACGCCGAGUACUUGACGGUACCUUCAAAGGAAGCACCGGCUAACUACGUGCCAGCAGCCGCCGUAACAC